ACUUCCAGGUUAGAGCAGCAGGGCGCAGGAGUGCAGUUCAUCAAAACCUCUGUAUUGUUGCUGAUGCGUAAACUGCCUGGCAUGGGAUACCAUGGAGUAACAAAGGCAAAUGCUUCAAAAACUGCCUCCCCUGCCUCCAUCAAUAUUUGCUGAGUAGACCUGCAUUCAGAAGGGUGUUUGUGAGAAGCAAACAUGAUAGUUUGAAAACCCUGAGUUGUUUUCUUUUCUACCCAGAAGAAUGAACACUGAGAGAUACAGAAGAUGUGAUGGACAGUUUUGACAAUAACCCCCACAUCAAAUGCGCCAGAAGACUGAAGCAGAGGCAACAUUCCUGUCCAAGGACCCUUCAGCUACAAAGGAAACCCUCCAGCUCUCUUCCUUGGAAGACUUUCUGCUUCUUCAUCACUGAAUAGAGGGAACGGGUAUUAUAUGAAGAUAAAGUUAUUGCUUGUGCCUGCCUGGAGCACAAGAUCGAAGCCUUGAAACUUCCCAACAUGUCCUAUGGGAGUCUGGAGGUUGGACCUUUCCUAGAUCAGUGUAAAUACUUUAAGUACUAUCUGACUGUGCUCUAACAGGAGUUGGAAUAGAUUGGAAGCUGCACUGGUCUUAAAAGCCAGUGCUCAUAAAUACUUGGAGAGCUCAGGCUGUGGGUUCAUCCCUAGAAUGUGAGACAAGAAUUAAGCUUAUUUAGCAAUUUUGAAUUCUAUCACAGUCCUAAUUUUAGGAAAAGACACACUGUGCUGUAUCUGUUUCAUUACAUGUGUUGAAUUUGAAUUUGUAAGCCUUUAUCUUCUGUUUGUCUUGAAUUACAGAAGUAUAUAGUGCAAUGACUUCAAGAGACAGACCCACUAAAUGUAUAGUUUGUUGGAAUUAUAUCUACUUUUUUUCUUUAUUUAGGAAAUUUAGAUUAAUUUAAAUGAUUGUUUCUUCUGUAAUCUCACAGAUAGGAGAAUGACAAGAGCUCUUAUUCAGGCCAUUCAUACUAGAACAAUUCUGUAACUCUCAUGUUUUGUUUUGCUUUGUUUUGUUUUGUUUUCUUUAUCUUGGUAAAGCAGAUGCCACAAAGAAAUACUAGGGAUCCAUUAUUUAUUUUCAUUUUUUAUUUUUUAAAAGUAAAAUAGUGCAACACUUACAAAUGGAAGUUUUACAUGAAUGAUGGUUCAGUCAAGCAGUAAUACGUCACUGAGAUGUAACUAUGCAGAGUUCUUUUGGACACUCUGUUCAGUUUCUGAUCUGAGCAGCUUUUGGGUAUGCAUUCAUGACAGUUCAGCAUAUUGUUUAAUGUGAUUUUUAUAUACAUUUGCAAUUUUAGAAAAUAUUACUAUACUUCUGUUCUUGCUUUUCUCCAUUGCUGCGAAAAGAAUCAUGGUUAAAUUGUGUUCUCCUGGCUCCUCUUGGCCUUGUGGAAGACAGUAAGUGUUUUAUGGCAAACCUUCAGAGCCCUGUCUGAGGAAGCUCUGUGCAAUCAGAAUCCUUUGUCUAUAAUCCCUGUUUCUUUCCAGUCAAUGAAAAUGACAAAAAUAAUGUUUGAAAACCAGCGUAGCUAUCCAUGACUCCUAAACUUGUUAAAAUGUUUUGUUCAUCCUGAAAUAUCCUAAGCAUGACAUAAAAGAGAAAAUCCCAGGCUAAUGCCCUGACAUGUGAUGUGUCUGCUUAUCCUGGCUGUCUCGUACACUAGAGCUUUUCUGGAUGAAGCUAGCUGUGAUGACUCUCCAUUAAGGCAAAACUUCAGGCAGAGUGCUCCCACUCUCCUUCCUUCUGAAUUUGAUAACAGUUUUUCCUCUUUUGUUUGUCUGUUUAGGUGAUAAUCAUAGGAAGCCAUGUGAUAGCCUGUGACACCACAGCUGUUUGCAGUUUCAGUUCUUGUAGUUAUGCACAUCCCCUGAGACUUUGGUGAGGGAGUAUUUUGCAGCCAGAAAGACCGAAAGACCGGAGUUUGCCAAAUAUGUUUUCUUUUUCUUUUUUUUUUUUUCUCAGUAUCUUUUCACAAGUUCUUUUUACUUUUAGAGAUAGGGAGAAGAGUGGAGAAAUCUUUUUUUUUUUUUUUUUUUUUUUUUUUUAGAUAACGUUGCAUAAAGCAUAAAAUGCUUCACAUGCACAGAAUAAAGGAAAAAAAUCUCAAUUUCUAUUUCAA